rnacentral:snRNA from 1 species
GGAUGUGAGGGCAUUCUGGCUGUGACCUCUUUUGUCACCCCACUGAUUGCCAGGGUUAAGUCAGCUAAUAUGACUGGCUAGGUGAGUGUCCCCUUUCCUCCCUCACCAGUCCAGUGAAUCCCUCCUGAAUCUGCCCAUUCGGUCAAAGAAGAUGACCUUCCCUGAGUAGAGGAGGACUGGUCUUCCAUCAAGGAUAUACAAGUAGCUGCACUCCUAUGAUAGAACCCCCAAACAAGUUCUCAAGAAAAGUGUUUGGAAAGAGAAAGUGAAGUCCAUGCAGAUAUGCAAACUAGUAAGAUUUCAUUUAUAAUAUUGAUGC